AACCUUAUGGACCUGCGGGCGUAUACCUGCGGAGGGAUCAUUACCGAGUUUUCAACUCCCUAACCCUUCUGUGAACCUACCUAUCGUUGCUUCGGCGGACUCGCCCCAGCCCGGACGCGGACUGGACCAGGGAGGUGGGCAACUACCCCCCAGGGCCGGAAAGCUCUCCAAACUCGGUCAUUUAGAGGAAGUAAAAGUCGUAACAAGGUCUCCGUUGGUGAACCAGCGGAGGGAUCAUUA
rnacentral:misc_RNA from 1 species